GUUUGACCUCAAAUCAGGUAGGACUACCCGCUGAACU
rnacentral:rRNA from 1 species